AUAUCCCAAUCUGAUUUUCACUUUUUCCCCCUAAUUUCUCUUCCCUCUCUUCCUCGCUUUCGUUCCCCGUAAUACACCACUACCAUUCUUCCUCUCUUCUUCACUCUACAUCAUCCGCUGUUCACUCAACCAUUCACUCAACCAUUCACUCUCCAUCAGUCGUUCAUUCGCUGCCUUACGAGAGCGUUUCUCUCGUCUCCAUUAUCGAAAGGCUCUCGUUGCCUCUCCAUCAUCGAAGGCUCUUGCUGCCUCUCCAUCAUCGAAGGCUCUUGCUGCCUCUCCAUCAUCGAAGGCUCUUGCUGCCUCUCCAUCAUCGAAGGCUCUUGCUGCCUCUCCAUCAUCUCGUUGAACCACAGUUCAAGCAGUAGGCUUUGAGAUGAUUGAUGCAAUUGCUGAGUCGUAGGGGAUUCCUAUGAACACUGCCCAUUCCAAAGCCAUUUUCGGAAAAGGGAUAGGAAAAUCUCGAAAUUGACAAUGACUGCUAAAGGAAUACCAGUAUUUUCGGCAGUUUAAGCUCUGACAGAGUGGAUGGUGUUUAGCUCCCUUAGAUUCUUGGGAGGCUUUGCAGCUGCCCUGAUUGAUGAUCCUCUGUGGGUCAUGAACACUGUCCCUAUUGAGGCCGAGUUCAACACCCUCGGUGUCAUAUAUGAACGUGGAUUGAUUGGAACCUACCAAAACUGGUAUGCCUUUCUUCCAUAAUAGUAAAUUAGUAGAGGGACUCAUUCUAGGAAAAGUAGAACAUAGUUGGGGUAGAAAGUAGCUUUCUCAUUGACUAAUUAGAUUAGAAGCAUAUCUCACUUUAGCUUAAUUUCUGUUCAUCACUGCUAAAUGCUUAAACACAACUCAAGUGGUACCAACUUUUGUCCUUUACCAUAGACAGGGCACUGUUAUACAGAUACACUUGUUUAGCUCCCUUAGUUUCUUCUCAUUUGAAUAUUGGGUGUUUAGAAGAGCUUAUACUGAGCAAGUGGCACCAAAAAGAAUUAAUGUUAUUUACAAAUCCUUGGUGAUAGAAUGUAUAUUAUUCCGUGUGUAGAAAGUGAAGAAUAUCAUCAUAUAUAUGUAUACUCGUGUUGAUUAUAGAUGUGAGGAUAAGGAAAUAAGGGAAAUAAAAGCGCGUCCACAAGAUUCUGCAGAUAAUAUAUGCCAAACAAACCCUUCUGGGACUUUCUUUCUGUCCUCAAAGCUGAUAUUAAUUUCUGCUUUUUUUGUAAGAUCCAUUCACGAGGUGUUGCGUCAAAGAAUUCAUUAGAUGCCAUCGUGUUUCUUAACAUUAAAUUCUAUGGAAGCACUUUUAUUUAUAACAAACACCAAACUUCAUUGAUAAUUCAUAUAUGUAUAUAUCAUAUGGGUUCUAUUAAAGCAAGUCAUUGUAGUUUGAAACACUUGGAGCACAGGUAGACUAAAACUUGUCACUUUCUUUUAUUCCCCUUUCAACCCAUUUCCUGUCCCGAAAAUAUAUAUGCAAGUUUUAUAUGCUUUCUUAUUGAAUCUGUAUUUAAUCUUAUAUAUAAAGUUGCUUUGACUUCAUGUUUGAAUCCUGUUAUUGAAUUCUUUGAAAAAAGACAUUGAUGAUUUAUGGUCUCAACGUUUUGAGGACAUAAAUUUUUCUUAAGAAAUUUUCUUUUGUUGUAACUUAGUGAUUUUAAGGAAUUGGAUUUAGUUGGUCAAUUUCUUAUGAAUUUCACCACUUUAAUGCAUUACACAUUUUUGCUCAUGCAUUACAGAACCUAUCAAAACAUAACCAUUAAUUAAGAUAUUUGUAAGUGUCAUGGUUUGGAAUACUCAUUAAUCUACUCAU